CGAUGGAUAGGGGUUCUGAGAGGAAGGUCCCCCACAUUGGUACUGAGACACGGACCAAACUCCUACGGGAGGCAGCAGUGAGGAAUAUUGGUCAAUGGGCGUAAGCCUGAACCAGCCAAGUCGCGUGAGGGAUGAAGGUUCUAUGGAUCGUAAACCUCUUUUAUAAGGGAAUAAAGUGCGGGACGUGUCCUGUUUUGUAUGUACCUUAUGAAUAAGGAUCGGCUAACUCCGUGCCAGCAGCCGCGGUAAUACGGAGGAUCCGAGCGUUAUCCGGAUUUAUUGGGUUUAAAGGGUGCGUAGGCGGCCUUUUAAGUCAGCGGUGAAAGUCUGUGGCUCAACCAUAGAAUUGCCGUUGAAACUGGGGGGCUUGAGUAUGUUUGAGGCAGGCGGAAUGCGUGGUGUAGCGGUGAAAUGCUUAGAUAUCACGCAGAACCCCGAUUGCGAAGGCAGCCUGCCAAGCCAUGACUGACGCUGAUGCACGAAAGCGUGGGGAUCAAACAGGAUUAGAUACCCUGGUAGUCCACGCAGUAAACGAUGAUCACUAGCUGUUUGCGAUACAGUGUAAGCGGCACAGCGAAAGCGUUAAGUGAUCCACCUGGGGAGUACGCCGGCAACGGUGAAACUCAAAGGAAUUGACGGGGGCCCGCACAAGCGGAGGAACAUGUGGUUUAAUUCGAUGAUACGCGAGCGGCUUAAGUGCCAUAACGAGCGCAACCCUUGCCACUAGUUACUAACAGGUAAAGCUGAGGACUCUGGUGGGACUGCCAGCGUAAGCUGCGAGGAAGGCGGGGAUGACGUCAAAUCAGCACGGCCCUUACAUCCGGGGCGACACACGUGUUACAAUGGCGUGGACAAAGGGAAGCCACCUGGCGACAGGGAGCGAAUCCCCAAACCACGUCUCAGUUCGGAUCGGAGUCUGCAACCCGACUCCGUGAAGCUGGAUUCGCUAGUAAUCGCGCAUCAGCCAUGGCGCGGUGAAUACGUUCCCGGGCCUUGUACACACCGCCCGUCAAGCCAUGGGAGACUCCGAAUGAGGGGGAUUAGCUCAGCUGGCUAGAGCAUCUGCUUUGCACGCAGAGGGUCAACGGUUCGAAUCCGUUAUU
rnacentral:rRNA from 1 species